rnacentral:rRNA from 1 species
AUUGAACGCUGGCGGCAUGCUUUACACAUGCAAGUCGAACGGCAGCGCGGGCUUCGGCCUGGCGGCGAGUGGCGAACGGGUGAGCAAUGCAUCGGAACGUGCCCAGUAGUGGGGGAUAGCCCGGCGAAAGCCGGAUUAAUACCGCAUACGACCUGAGGGUGAAAGCGGGGGACCGAAAGGCCUCGCGCUAUUGGAGCGGCCGAUGUCGGAUUAGCUAGUUGGUGGGGUAAAGGCUUACCAAGGCGACGAUCCGUAGCUGGUCUGAGAGGACGACCAGCCACACUGGGACUGAGACACGGCCCAGACUCCUACGGGAGGCAGCAGUGGGGAAUUUUGGACAAUGGGGGCAACCCUGAUCCAGCCAUGCCGCGUGCGGGAAGAAGGCCUUCGGGUUGUAAACCGCUUUUGUUCGGGAAGAAAUCCUCUGGGCUAAUACCCCGGGGGGAUGACGGUACCGGAAGAAUAAGCACCGGCUAACUACGUG